GGGACUUUGGACCUUUCUGACUAUCAUCUAGCAAAAAAAUGGGGAGUAAAACAAACAGCCAUUGGAAGGACAUUUCCACCUGCAGCAAAUAACUGUUCCAAGCUGCACAGCACAUUGGCAACAUUAGGAAACCUGGAAUCAGCUGUAGCAAAGACAGAAGAUCCAUCCACUGAGAUACACACAAUAUGUGUGAGCAGAGCACUGAAGCUUUCCCAGAAGAAAAACAUCAUAAAAGGACAUCAAACUAGCAUUUUGUGAUGCCAGGCCUUUGCUGCAGCUUUUAAGAACAGUAUGCUCUCCACUAAAAACGAAAAACAAAAAAAAAAGGGUAGCAAUGUAUCUGAACAACUUGGGGCAUAAUGUGCUCCAGCCAAACCGUCUGUAGAAUUUCUUAUCAGACCCUCUUGUCGAGAUUGCUGAAACAUAAAUUGCUCUAAAAUAAGAAUGAAAAAGCUGAAAAACAGCAAAACAGAAAAACAAGAACCAGGUAACAGGAAGCCAUCAAACACCUAGACUGUGACCAAUCACAUAUCUUGAGAAGUGCGUGCUGAACACAUGGACAAAAUAAAGGCACCAAUCAAGAAAUGUGUGAUCAGCAUGUGCAGUAGUUUUAGAAUCUAUAAAUAAGUGCAUAAUGUAAAUAAUAAACAGCUUCUGUGUAAUCAUAUUAGUUUGUUGUUCAGAGGUCCUGAGCUCCUGCAAAUAGCAUAACCAAUUCUGUUCGGCUUUCAACGAAACUCAUGUAACUGGACAAACUGAAAGUUCUGAGACAUAAAUUCAACAACAGAUCGAUCAUUCUUCAAACCUUGGGUGAUUUUUGCUGCUAAAUCCACGAAGAGAUCACUGUCAUUUUCCGUUAUCUGGGAUCUAGACCUCUGUUUCUUUGUUUCCUC